GACGAACGCUGGCGGCGUGCUUAACACAUGCAAGUCGAACGGUGAAGCGCCUUCCUUUUUGGUGGGUGUGGAUGAGUGGCGAACGGGUGAGUAACACGUGAGUAUCCUUCCCCCUUCUUCUUGAUAACCGCAUGAAAGUGUGGCUAAUACGGGAUUUUCCGGGUCUGUCGCAUGAUGGGUCUGGGAAAGAUAUUGUUUCGGUGGGGGAUGGGCUCGCGGCCUAUCCGGUUGUUGGUGGGGUGAUGGCCUACCAAGGCGGUGACGGGUAGCCGGCCUGGGCGGGUGGACGGGCAGACUGGGAAGGAGACACGGCCCAGACUCCUAUGGGAGGCAGCAGUGAGGAAUAUUGGACGAUGGGGGCAAGAAUGAUGCAGCGACGCCGCGUGAGGGAUGGAGCCCUUCGGGUUGUGAACCUCUUUCGCUAGUGAAGCAGGCCUGCCUCGUUUGUGGGUGGGUUGACGGUAGCUGGAUAAGAAGCGCCGGCUAACUACGUG
rnacentral:rRNA from 1 species